rnacentral:rRNA from 1 species
UACGUAGGGUGCAAGCGUUGUCCGGAAUUAUUGGGCGUAAAGAGCUCGUAGGCGGUCUGUCACGUCGGCUGUGAAAUCCCGAGGCUCAACCUCGGGUCUGCAGUCGAUACGGGUAAACUAGAGUAUUGCAGGGGAGACUGGAAUUCCUGGUGUAGCGGUGAAAUGCGCAGAUAUCAGGAGGAACACCGGUGGCGAAGGCGGGUCUCUGGGCAAUAACUGACGCUGAGGAGCGAAAGCGUGGGGAGCGAACAGG